GCACUGAUUGGAUUCAACUUCAAGCAAUACAUCUUUGGUACUCUUACUUAUUCAUCAUCAAAAUUUCAGUAAUAUAUUAACCCAAAAUGUUAAAUUUAAGUUUUUAAAUAAAUUUUAAACCUAUCAAAAUUAUUUUUAAAAAAGCAAAAAAAAACUUAUAUUAUUGAAAUGAGAGAUUUGGUCCACAAAUUUUUAGAUUUGACUAUAGGAAAUUUAUUUGGCAAAGACAUUACAUGCAGAGAACCCAUUCAUCGUUGUGAUGCCUAUCAACCUGGUGUUUUGGUUGAAUUUGGCAGAACUGGGAUCAAGCUGUUCAAAAAAUUCUUGAUGCCCUGCGGUAUCUGCGCAGCAGUGCCUGUAAUCAAGUCUAAGGAUGAACCAACAUCGGUCAAUAAUGAACAAAAAAAACUUGUUCGACCAUCUGAACUACCAAUUUACACAUUCGAAAAAGCUGAAACUAGGGAACCUCCAUGCAAAGAAAAUACAGAACAAGGUAUUUUGGAGCAAGGAUUUGGAACUGUAAGAAAAUCAGUACAAGAUGUCCUCAAGCAAUUCACUGGAUACACAGAUGUUGUUACAAAUACAAUUGAUACUGGUGUAGCCCAUAGUCAAGUGACACUGGAUUACUUGAGAGAAGAAACAAAUGUGCUACCUCGUAUUGGUGCAGUAGGUGUAGGUGGCUUAUCUGGGUUGAUCCUAGGUUUGAGGGGUGGAAAACUCAAAAAGUUAGUUUACUCCAGCACAGGUGCUCUUGUUGUUGCAUCGAUAUGCUAUCCAAAGCAAGCUCAAGAAGGAAUGACACUAGCAAAGCAUUACAUCAAUAUUGGAUACAAUUUUGUGUAUGGUGUUAAACCCGGAGAUGCAAAUCAAUUGGAAAUAUCUUGGCCAGAAUUGCCAAAAGUACCAAGCACUUUGUCUGAAGUUGCAGACUUAGCUGGCAGUGCUGCUGGUUCAGCUUUUUCAGCUGUUGGUACGCUAGUUGGUAAAGCUUCUGAAGCAUUUCAUGAAUUUUCGGAGAAUCAGAGACAGAUACUAAAAAUGAUACAGUAGCUCACGAAAUAACGUUUGUACGAGACGAUCUGGAUGAUACGAAAGCUGUGGAAAUCGUAGACUCGACAGCUUUCGAAGAAAAAUUCAAAAAUAAUACAAAAAGAAAGUUUUUCAUUUGGAAAUAAGUAACAGAUGUUGAAACUUCCUUUCCUACCACCUAAGUCUCCAUUUCAAAACGACAAGCCUAAGAAGAGCUAAAAAAUUGACUGUUAUCGAAGAACCGUCACCUAGUAGAAGCAACAAUCCAGUCCAGCUGUAUUAAAUCAUUGUACAAAAAUAUCAGCGUAGUACGCGCCAUCGUGAAUCAGGCGAAUCAGGAUCAUGUGUAAGCGAGAUUAUGACCAGCUUGCGAAUAAAAAAAAUUGAGCAGCUAAACACCGACAUUUGUUUCCCGAUUAGCUCGAACGUUUGCAUGAGCAGGCACUCGUUUGUUUUUACCUUUUCAAAAGUACUCUCAUUUCAAAAUUUUAACAAUAAAGAAAAUUUAACUUAA